rnacentral:misc_RNA from 1 species
GGAAAAUGAGUUGAAAUUAUUGUUACUAUACACAGAACAAACAUAACCGAUAAUAGAACACGCUAGCGAUGGAUAUAAUUCAAAGGGAUGUCACAGUCACUCCUCCGUCGCACUCGCACGCUCUUUCACCACUUACCCACCUAUAGCACCCACCUCUCUCUUCCUUCACCACUGGGCUUGCACCGCUCAAUGGCCAACACCUCC